AGUGAACGCUGGCGGUAGGCCUAACACAUGCAAGUCGAACGGCAGCACAGAGGAGCUUGCUCCUUGGGUGGCGAGUGGCGGACGGGUGAGGAAUACAUCGGAAUCUACUCUGUCGUGGGGGAUAACGUAGGGAAACUUACGCUAAUACCGCAUACGACCUACGGGUGAAAGCAGGGGACCUUCGGGCCUUGCGCGAUUGAAUGAGCCGAUGUCGGAUUAGCUAGUUGGCGGGGUAAAGGCCCACCAAGGCGACGAUCCGUAGCUGGUCUGAGAGGAUGAUCAGCCACACUGGAACUGAGACACGGUCCAGACUCCUACGGGAGGCAGCAGUGGGGAAUAUUGGACAAUGGGCGCAAGCCUGAUCCAGCCAUACCGCGUGAGUGAAGAAGGCCUUCGGGUUGUAAAGCCCUUUUGUUGGGAAAGAAAUCCAGCUGGCUAAUACCCGGUUGGGAUGACGGUACCCACAGAAUAAGCACCGGCUAACUUCGUGCCAGCAGCCGCCGUAA
rnacentral:rRNA from 1 species